GAACGGAGUCCGAUACGCGCCGGAAGCCAACUCUACUCCGUGGCUUCUCCGGAAAACCGGAGUUACUAUUCACUUUAAGUGAAAACUAAUAAUCGCGUAACUUCUCUGUUUUAGCUCAUUUUCUUCUGAAACUUGACGAGUGCUUAUGUAAUUAAAUUACACACAUAAACAUCGUCAACGGAGAGUUUAGUUGCACUGUAAACAUCUCAGUCCUUAUAAUUCUCUAACAGGUUAAGCUUUCAGGACAUAUUUGGUUCAUAAUUGGAAUAGAAAUGGCAAUGAAAUUGGAUUGCUUUGGAAUAGAAAAUAGAAUGACGAAUCAUUCAAAAAUAUUUGAUUCAUUAUUAGAAUGAAAAUCGGAAUAAAAGUUUAGAAUUUUUAAGAGAGAAUUUUAAUUAAGAAAUCAGAAAGGAACAAAGGUAGAGGAGGAGGUAUUAAUGAAGAAAGAUUUUUAGUAGUUUACUUUUAAUAGUUUACUUUGAAAUGGGUCAAUCCGAAAUUCAAAGUUUGGAUUGGGCAUAAAUGAAUUUGGUCAUUCUUAUUCCAGAGUGGAACGGGAUUCGGAAUCCGCUUCCCAUAAAGCAAACAACAACAAUCGUAAUCAAUGAAUCUCAUUCCGAUUCUAUAGUUUAAAAUAGGUGAACAAAACAUGCCCUUAGGAUUUAUUUGGUUCGGUAUAAGGAAAAACUAUUUUUCGCAGAGAUCGCUGCAAGUUCAGAUAUAAACAAGAACUACACUAAUUUUACAUUUGAAUGAAAAUUUAGUUGUUACCAAAAAUAAGAAAAAUAAUGUUUCGAUAGAUAAGAUGGAAUAAGGAGAAUAGUGGGUACUUAUAAAUUAAAACAGGUGAACCAAACAAGCCCUUGAAGUGAAACGUUUAUGUACCCGAAGCCCGCCUUGGUCGUAGAGGCGUGUUUGCAUUAGCAAGAGUAUUGUGGGAAUGCUGUUCCCUNUAUAUAUAUAUAUGAGUUAAGUUAGAAUACUAUCAUUUAUUUUCGAUGAUGGAGCCUCCAAAUCGAUGAUCGGUACCGUUGAAUAUGAUCUAUACCAUUUGAAGUAUUUAGAAAUCAAAUUUCAUAUAUUUUCGAUAUUGUUCUCUUAUCCAUCGAGUGGGCAUAAAAAUGAACGGCUGAAAAUGAAUAUUUUUUAAAAAAUGAUGAUAGGACUCUUGUAAUCAAGAUAAAGAGUAUAGAUCUUUUUUUAAAUGGUUUAAAGAAUUUUCUAACAAAAAUUCAAUUGAUUUGGAUAUCUUUAGGCCGUUAAACGAGAAAACGCCUCAUAUCGACCAUUAAAAUUAUAAAUUUUGAAACCCUUUGAUCAUUAGGCAAAUGAUGUCGAAAAGAUUUGAAAUUUUGUUUUUAAAUACUUCAAGUGAUAUAGAUCAUGUUCAAUGAUACCGAUUGUCGAUUUGGAGGCUCCAUCAUCGAAAAUAAAUGAAUGACAACGGAGCCCGUUUGCUAUCGAUAGUAUUAUAGCUCAACUCUAUAUAUAUAUAUAUAUAUAUAUAUAUAGAGAGAGAGAGAGAGAGAGAGAGAGAGAGAGAGAGAGAGAGAGAGAGAGAGAGAGCGCUAGGCUUCUAUGCUUUCGAAAGUACAGAGGCAUCUGUGCUUGUAAGUUGUUUUCAAUGAUGAGACGUCCAAUUCGACGAUCAGUUCCGUUAAACAUGAUCUACCCUAUUAGAACUAUCUAGAAACCAAAUUUCAUAAUUUUUUGACUUCAUUUGUCUAGUGAACGAGUAGCCUUAAAAUGAACGGUUGAAAAUAAAAAUCUCAUAAAAAAUAGUGAUAAAUGAUUCAAAUUUCAAAUCGGAAGUAUUGUUCUUACUUUUGAUGUUAAGUAGAAUUUUCUAUUAAAGUUUCAUAUAAUUUGGAUACUUCUAUACCGUUGAAAUUAAAAACGUACCACAUCGGUUAAAAUAGUCAUUUUUGAGACCCUGUGAUCGCUUUGUAAAUGAUGUCGAAAAAUUAUAAAAUUUGGUUUAAUGAUAGUUCCAAUAGCAUAGAUUAUGUCUAACGGAGCCGAUCGUCGAAUUGGAUAUCCUAUCAUCGAAAACAACUUACAAGUACAGAGGCCUCCGUACUUUCGAAAGCACGGGAGACGUACUAUAUAUAUAUAUAUAUAGAGAGAGAGAGAGAGAGAGAGAGAGAGAGAGAGAGUGAGUGAGAGAGGCUACUAUGCUAUCGGAAGCACGGAGCCUUCCGUGCUUCCAGCUCGUUUUUGAUGUUGCGACUUUCGAAUCGUCGAUCGGCUCCGUUAAAAUGUAGAGUAUUUUGAGUACCUAGAAAAUAAAUUUUAUUAUUUUUCGAUAUCAUUUGCCUAGUGAUCGAAUGGGCUCAAAAUCAACAAAUUUCAAUGGCCGUAGUGAGAUGUUUGCAAGUUUAACGGUGUAGAAAUAUCAAAAUCACGUGAAAUUUUGAUAGAAAAUUCUUUAUACUAUAUAAAACAAGAUCAAUAUCUUUGAUUUAAAAUUUUAAUGUCAUAUUAUUACAUUUUGUAGGAUUUUUUUUUUCAGCCGUUGAUUUUGAGCCCCUUCGUUCACUAGGCAAAUGAUAUCAUAAAAUAAUAAAAUUUAUUUUCUAGGUACUUCAAAUACUCUAGAUCAAGUUUAAUGGAGCGAUCGACGAUUCGAAAGUCGCAACAUCGAAAACAAGCUGAAAGCAUGAAAGACUCCGUACUUUCGAUAGCACAGUAGACUCACUAUAUAUAUAUAUAUAUAUAUAUAUAUAUAUAUAUAGCUUUGUAAUUUACAUUUUAUCAUCUUAUACAAAAAGUAGUUUGUUAUCGGCUUUCACGUCAAAUCUUAUGCAAAAGUGAAGCAAAAGAUUCUUAUAUGGAGUCAAAAUACUUUCAUUCACUUUUUUAACUUUUCGAUCUGACCGUUGGCCUAACCAACCCCAAAAACCGUCAUCAGAGAAUUCACAUCCAUCAUGUGUGGAUAUCUAAAUAAGUCAUUCCACUAUAAUUUAUUCAGUAUUAUAUUUGUGAUGAAAAUAGAGAGAUUUAUUAAUAGAAUAAUAAUAUAUUUUAUUUACGAGAAAAUUUAUUUUAUUUUGAAAAAAAACUAAUUAUGAUAUUUAUUAUAGAUAUUUGAUAACACUUUUUACCUAUUAAAUACUAUAUAUUUUUAAAAUAAAUUAAUAUAUAUAAUAUCAAAUAAUAAAUAUUCACGCAUCCAAACAAAAUCAUUGCAUUUCUAUUAUUCAAAAAACUAUGUUGGACUUUUACUAUAUAUUAUUUUUAAUCUUUACGACAUUAGUAUAGGUAGCAAUUACUGGAUUAUAUAUUGGCUAUUAUUUACAAUAGCAUGAAAUGCUAUUCUUUCUUUUAUUUUUUAGCCUUUCUUUUUAAGAAGCCAUUUGAAAGGAUCUAGGCAUUUGCUAAUUUACCAUAUAAUACAGUCUGGUUACUAUAUUCUUUAUGAGUAUAGAUUUUUUUUUACGCAUAAGUUUUUGAUCGCUUGAUCUAUCUCUUGAUUAUUUUCGUUCGUUAAAUAAUACUAUUCAACCAACCGCUCACUCUAGAGAACCACUAUCAUUUUAAUCUGAAAUAGUAAAUUUUUUUAUUUAAUAAUCAAAAAUUUAUAAGUAUAAAAUUUUUUUUAUAUUUAUAAGAGUAUAGUAAUUUUAAUCUAUAUAAUAUUUUUUUUUCAUACUAGGGUACGAGAGAGAGAGAUAGAGAGAGAGAGAGAGAGAGAGAGAGAGGGGGGAGGGUGGAAGUUGAAAAAGUCGGUGCCGUAUCGCAUCUGAAAAGCCGUUUCAUUGGACCGCGCGUCCCUACUGCUCACGUGAGUGGGCUACUACUACGGUAAACGCUGAGACUUUUUAUUGUUAUUAUUAUUAAUAUUAAUUAUUAAUUAUUAAUUAUCACCGUUUUUUUUUUGUCCUUUUAUAUUGGGUAAAUUUCAAAUAUCACCUCCGUAAUUACAUAUUAUUUUUACUUUAAUAUUAUGUGGUUUAAACUAUAUCGUUUUAAUAUUUCGUGGUUUUAUUUUUCUCUUUUCGUCGGUGCCUACGUUAACUCUCUGUUAAAUUGUUUACAGAAAAUCUUUAGAUAUUUCGGUUAUGGUUAUUGAAUAUUCACUUUAUUACCAUGUGGUUUACCGAAUUUUUAUUUUAGUAUUCUGUGGUUUUAACUUUAUCAUUAAUUUAACCAAAAAAAAAUUAAUAUAGAGAAUAAUGAAAAGAGAAAAAUGAAAUCAUUCACGGGGGAGUAAAGUGAUACAUUUUAAAACACAUGGACUAAAAUAAGAAAGCGUGAAACCACAAGGAUAAUAUUUAAAGUUUUUCUUUUAUUUUUUAAGUGUGCUGCCGUACUAAAGCUUUGUUUCGUUCGAAUAUAAAUAAAAAUUAUUUAUUUCAUAAUUGAUACAAAUUUAGAUAUAAACAGAAACUAGCAUAAAUUUUAUUUGGUUGAAAAUUGAAUUGUUUCUGCGAAUAAGUUAAAUAGUAUUUGAAUACUUAUAGCAGAAACAAAAGUAAUUAUAAUUUUUAAUUAAUAAUAUUUUAUUUAAUCAAUUAAUAUUAAAAUAUUAAUUAAAAAUUAAUUUAAUAAAUUAAAAUUUGUAUCAACUAUGAAUAUUGUACAAGAUAAUGAAAAAACAUAUUAAUUAAUUAAUUAUAUUAAUUAUUUUAAAUUAUAAAAUAUAACUUAACGUUUUAAUUAAUUAGUAAAUUAUUUAAUUAGUUAGAUGAUUUUCUAAGAAAUUAAUUUAAUUAGUUGGCCAAUGUGAAUAAUAGUUAAUUAUUAGAUAAACACAUUAAAUAAUUAAUGGGUCAAAUGCAUACAGCUCCCUGCAAACAUAGCCAAUUGCGGAAAUAUCCCUACAAAACGAAAACUCCAUAAGUUGUCCCUGCAAAAGUCUUAAGUUAUGUAGAUAUGUCCCUCCGGUUAACAUCCGUUAGUGAUCUGUUUAUUUUUUAACAGUGGAUUCGUGAAAUGACCAUUUUACCCUCACAAAUAUAUCCCUCCAAAAGUUUUUCUCUUCCCUUCUCUUUCUCUUCCUCUUCGGAUCAUCGAAGCGGACGACGGCGGCGGCGGCGCGGGGUCGGGUUCGCCGGCGACGAAGAAGAGGGAAGAACGCCGGGGCACCCGAGCUCUCUACCCGGAGCUCGUCGCCCUCAAUGCCGUCCUCUCCCUCGUUGGCCUCCUCGGCCACGACAUCGCCGACAUCGCCGUCGACGUCGUCUCCCUCCUCACCGACCUCACCGACACCGACGUCCUCGGCGACCACGACGACCCCGCGCACGCCCUCGUCGCCGCCCUUGUUGACAACAACGCCCUCGAGCUUCUUGCCCGCCUUUCGGAGGCCGACCCCGACGAGACUCUUCUCCCUCGCCGGUGACGAAGAAGAGGGAAGAAGAAGAGGAAGAAAGAAGAAGGAAGAAGAAGGGAAAAGAGGAAGAGGGAAGAGGAAAAGUAAGAGGGUUCGUCGUCGCCGCCACCGUCGCCGCCGCCGCCGCAUCUCCUCGCCGGCGACGAAGAAGAAGGAAGAGGAAGAGGAGGAAGAGAAAGAAGGGUAAAUACGUCAAUUUACACUAUAAUUAACCAUGGUUAAGUAUUUUAACCGUGGUUAACGAAAAAUUUCUAACAGAUCUGGACGGCAGGGACAUAUCUGCAUAACUUAGGACUUUUGUAGGGACAACUUAUGGAGUUUCCGUUUUGUAGGGAUAUUUUCGUAAUUCACUAUGUUUGCAGGGACCUGUAUGCAAAUAACCCAUAAUUAAUUCUUAAUGAGUUAAUUAACCAUAAAUAAUAAACUAAUUAAUUACGUAACUAUUUAAACAAUAAAUAAUGACUUAAAUAUAUUCAUUAGAUUAAUUAUGAAGCCAAUAAUUAAAAUUAGAUUUAAAUUUUAACUAAGUUUGUUCUCACUUGAGAACAAACUUGUUCCAUGGGAAGGGUGGAACAAUUGCUCCACCCUUAUUCCUCCUUUUUUAUAAUUAUGGAGAACUAGAAUUUUCAAAUCCUAAAAUUUGCGUUUGGUAUAAGGACGGAAUAAGGGCUUAUUCCCUUUUUUAUACUCGAAUUAAACACUGCCUAAGAGACUUUUUGAUGGAAUAAAUUUAUAAUUAUAAUACAUAAAUUUAAAUGUAGUUUUUAAUUUGGCAUAUUUAAAUUUAACUACUAUAUUUGAAACUAUAAGAGGAUGCUCAGCUCCAAUAGUUGAAAAUAUGCUCAAAUUAACUAUAAUUCUAAUUGCAGUAGUUGGUGGAGUAAUUUUAAACAAAAUAUAAAUCUACAUUUCUAAUUAUUGUUGAAACACAAAAUAUUUUAUCUUCUCUAGAUUGAAGGUAAUCUAAGCACCACAUCUAACAGUGAUAAAAUUUUAAAAAUAACUUUUCAAUUGUAUGUAAUUAAUUAAGCGAAUUAAUUAUAGUUACAUUACUCUCUACUAUAUCUAAUCAAAUAAGAUGCAUAUAGCGGUAAUUGUUAAAUUUUUUACUACAAAUAUAUUUAAUGAAUGUGAAUUAAUGCACCUCUCUUGGCUUGUUUUUAGAUUCUCACGUGAGCACCGAAUUUUGGAGAAGUAAUACAUCAAAUCUCGAUCAAUUAUGAUUGAUAUUUACUGACUCUACCUAGUGUAGUUGACUAAAAAUUUAAUAAUUGAAUAUCUAAAUUUUCAUAUUAAUCCUAUAAAAAAUAAAAGAAGCAGGUAGGUUGCCAACCUUCUAUCAUAAUACUUAUGGUCCGUUUUUGAUAUAGUUAUGUAAUUUAAAAAAAAAAAAGUCUUGUUGGGUAUUAUUAUUUUUUAUUUUUAAAUAUUAUACUAAUUUUAUAUAAUUUGGUAUAUAGUAGAAUUUUUAAAAAAAUAAAAAUUGCUUCUAACUAUUUAUCCUUUUUUGUUGGGAAAUAAAUAUCUUACAUGUAAGGAUUAUAAGCAAUCCACUGUCUCCUCCUGCAUUACUUUACAUAAAAUAUAUAUAUAUAUAUAUAUAUAUAUAUAUAUAUAUAAUUAAGCUGAAAUACUAUUAAUAGUAAAACGUUCUUUUUACUAUCAAGUUUUUAACCCUUGGAUGAAAAAUUGUAGGGUCAGAAUGAUAUUAGUCGGUUAGAGUUGAGUGGUCCCCCUAGGGUUGAGUGGUCCCUACUGGGUUAUAGUAUUUAAUCCAAUGGUUAGAAAUAAUGAAAGAGUUGAUCCAAAGGCUAAAAAACUAGUAGCAACAAUGGAAUUUUACUACUAAUAGUAGCCCAGCCCAACUCUCUCUCUCUCUCUCUCUCUAUAUAUAUAUAUAUAGAAUUAGGCUGGAAUAUUAUUAAUAGUAAAACGCGCCUUUUGCUAUCAAGAUUUUAACCUUUGGAUGAAAAAUUAUAGGGUCAGAAUGAUAUUAGUCGGUUAGAGUUGAGUGGUCCCCCUAAGAUUGAGUGGUCCCCACUGGGUUAUAGUAUUUAAUCCAAUAGUUAGAAAUAAUGAAAAGAGUUGAUCCAAAGGCUAAAAAACUGGUAGCAACAAUGAGAUUUUGCUACUAAUAGUAGCCCAGUCCAACUCUAUAUAUAUAUAUAUAUAUAUAUGCUACUAUAUUAUCAAUAGUACCAAGUCCUUAUUAUUAUUGAGAUUUCGGCCGUUGGAUGAAUGGAUGUGCGGUAAGGAUGAUAGUGGUCCCCCGGUUAAAUUGAUAGUGGUCCCAUAGGGUUGAGUGGGUGGUUGGUUUAAUAGUAUAAUCUAACGGGUGGAAAUGAUCAAAGGGUAGAUCUAACGGUAAAAAACUCAAUAGUAUAAAGGGCUUGGUGCUAUCGAUAGUAUAGUAGCCGAAAUCAUAUAUAUAUAUAUAUAUAUAUAUAUGAUAUGAUCUAUAUAUAGACAAAUUGAGCUCCUUGCUUUUAAAAGUACCAGUUAUUGGAGAUGCGUAUUUUUAGCAUGUAUAUUAAGAAAUAUGCGGUUAGGAUGAUGUGGGCCCAUAGGUUGAGUGGUGUGGUUGGUUGAAUGUAUAAUUAAUUGGUUUGAUAUGAUCGAGGAGUGAUCUAACGCGUAAAAAGUUAAGACAAAAAAAAAGCACACACUCGUUGUUGGUGGCUUUUCAAGCACAUAGCCGGACUAAUAUAUAGUAUUUAUAUAUAUAUAUAUAUAUAUAUAUACUAUAAUAUAUAUAUAUAACGGUUCAGUUUUUUACGUCUAGUCGGAGUCCUUUCUUUUCACAUUAGAUCUAUAUUAUUCAAUCAAAUACCACUCACCCUAUGGGGGCCUCAAUUCCUAACGUAUCAUCCUUCUUAAUCCAAGGGUGCCGGAAACUUACAAUCCUAAUGAUUGGGUACUUUUUAAGCAUAGGAUACUAAUUAUAAUAUUUUAUAUUAUAUUUAUAUAUAUAUUAAUAUAUUUAUAUAUAAUUAAUUAUAUAUUGCUGGAAUGCGUUGCUUCUAGAGCACAGGGUCUCGGUGGCUCCUGAAGUCGUUUUUUAUGAUGGAUUCGAAUUGUACGAUCGGCUCGUGGUGAUUUAUCUAGUGCAUUUUGAAGUUUCUAGGAAAUAAUUUUUGCGUUUCGUAUCAUUUACCUAGCCCGAAUCGAAAAUUAAUUUAUAGAAACUUCAAAUACCCUAGAUCAAGUCUAACGGAGCCGAUCGUCGAUUCGAAAAUUCCAUCAUCGAAAACGGCUCAGGAGCACAGAAGCCUUUGUGCUCCUGAGAGUACAGUAGCCCUGAGCUGUGCUCAGGAGCACAGUAGUCCUGAGCUGUGCUCUCAGGCACACGGAGGCCUCUGUGCUCCCGAGCCGUUUUCGAUGAUGGAAUUUUCGAAUCAACGAUCGCCUCCGUUAGACUUGAUCUAGGGUAUUUGAAGUUUCUAGAAAAUAAUUUUUGUAAUUUUUUGAUAUCAUUUACCCAGUGAUCGAAAGGAUUCAAAAUCAAUAAUUUUUAAUGGUUGAUAUCCGCCGUUUUCUAGUUUAACGGUGUAGAAGUAUUCAAAUCAGAUGAAAUUUUGAUACAAAAUUUUUUAUACUAUCUACAACAAGAUCAAUAUUUCUGAUAAAAAAUUUUAGUGCUAUAUCACCACCUUUUAUAUGAUUUUUAAUUUCAACCGUUAAAAAUUAUUGAUUUGAACUAUUUAGAUUAGAGCAGGGCUACUGUGCUCUCAGGAGCACGGAGGCCUCUGUGCUCCUGAGCCGUUUUUAAUGAUGGAAUUUUCGAAUCGACAAUCGGCUCCGUUAGACUUAAUCUAGGGUAUUUGAAGUUUCUAGAAAAUAAUUUUUGUGAUUUUUUGAUAUCAUUUACUCACUAAUCGAAAGGAUUCAAAAUCAAUAAUUUUUAAUGGUUGAUAUCUGCCGUUUUCUAGUUUAACGGUGUAGAAGUAUUCAAAUCAGAUGAAAUUUUGAUACAAAAUUUUUUAUACUAUCUACAACAAGAUCAAUAUUUCUGAUAAAAAAUUUUAGUGCUAUAUCACCACCUUUUAUAUGAUUUUUAAUUUCAACCGUUAAAAAUUAUUGAUUUGAACUAUUUAGAUUAGAGCAGGGCUACUGUGCUCUCAGGAGCACGGAGGCCUCUGUGCUCCUGAGCCGUUUUUAAUGAUGGAAUUUUCGAAUCGACAAUCGGCUCCGUUAGACUUAAUCUAGGGUAUUUGAAGUUUCUAGAAAAUAAUUUUUGUGAUUUUUUGAUAUCAUUUACUCACUAAUCGAAAGGAUUCAAAAUCAAUAAUUUUUAAUGGUUGAUAUCCGCCGUUUUCUAGUUUAACGGUGUAGAAGUAUUCAAAUCAGAUGAAAUUUUGAUACAAAAUUUUUUAUACUAUCUACAACAAGAUCAAUAUUUCUGAUAAAAAAUUUUAGUGCUAUAUCACCACCUUUUAUAUGAUUUUUAAUUUCAACCGUUAAAAAUUAUUGAUUUGAACUAUUUAGAUUAGAGCAGGGCUACUGUGCUCUCAGGAGCACGGAGGCCUCUGUGCUCCUGAGCCGUUUUUAAUGAUGGAAUUUUCGAAUCGACAAUCGGCUCCGUUAGACUUAAUCUAGGGUAUUUGAAGUUUCUAGAAAAUAAUUUUUGUGAUUUUUUGAUAUCAUUUACUCACUAAUCGAAAGGAUUCAAAAUCAAUAAUUUUUAAUGGUUGAUAUCUGCCGUUUUCUAGUUUAACGGUGUAGAAGUAUUCAAAUCAGAUGAAAUUUUGAUACAAAAUUUUUUAUACUAUCUACAACAAGAGCAAUAUUUAUGAUAAAAAAUUUUAGUCCUAUAUCACCACUUUUUAUAAGAUUUUUAAUUUCAACCGUUAAAAAUUAUUGAUUUUGAACUAUUUCGAUUGCUAGGUAAAUGAUAUCAAAAAGUCGCAAAAAUUAUUUUCUAGAAACUUCAAAUACACUAGAUCAAGUCUAACGGAGUCGAUCGUCAAUUCGGAAAUUCCAUCAUAAAAAACGGCUCAGAAGCACGGAGACCUAAUCCAAACUAGGACUUUUAGAAUACAACGAUUGUUUCAAAGUCUUAACAUGUACAAAGAAAUUUUCUCUAAUUUCCAUUAGUAAUACGGCUUAGGCAUUAACAUCAAAUCUUUUAUUAAUGGAUAGUUGGUCAAUGAGACUGACCAGUAAGUAGCGUGUGUUUCAUUCAUAAUUAUAUUUAUGUACAGUAGAUUUUCUAGCCAUAUAUAUAUAUAUAUAUAUAUAUAGAGAGAGAGAGAGAGAGAGAGAGAGAGCAGGGCUGCUGUGCUCUUUGGAGCACGGAGGCCUCCGUGCUCCUGAGCCGUUUUCGAUGAUAGAAUUUUCGAAUCGACGAUCGGCUCCGUUAGACUUGAUCUAGCGUAUUUGAAGUUUCUAGAAAAUAAUUUUUACAAUUUAUUGAUAUCAUUCACCUAGUUAUCGAAAGGAUUUAAAAUCAAUAAUUUUUAAUAGUUGAUAUCUGUCGUUUUCAAGUUUAACGGUGUAGAAGUAUUCAAAUCAGAUGAAAUUUUGAUACAAAAUUCUUUAUACUAUCUACAAUAAGAUCAAUAUUUAUGAUCGAAAAUUUUAGUGCUAUAUCACCACUUUUUAUAGAAUUUUUAUUUUCAGCCGUUAAAAAUUAUUGAUUUUGAAUCCUUUCGAUUACUAGGUAAUGAUAUCGAAAAAUUGCAAAAAUUAUUUUCUAGUAACUUCAAAUACGCUAAAUCAAGUCCAGCGGAGCCGAUCGUCGAUUCGGAAGUCCCAUCAUCGAAAAUGGCUCAGGAGCACGAAGGGCUCCGUGCUCCUGAGAGCACACAAGACCUACUAUAUAUAUAUAUACACUUUUAGGAGAGAAAUUUUGAAAAGUGAUUUGAAUUCAAAAUUUAUAAAUAGUUUGUUCUAAUAAUCAUAGUCCAAUCCUAACUAGGAUCGUGGACACACCAAACAUAGGAUUGGAUUAUAAUUAUUCAAUCCAUAUCCUUAGAGGACGUGGAUCNAGAGCUAGGCUGGUAUACUAUCGGUAGCACGGAGGCCUCCGUGCUACCAAGUUGUUUUCAAUGAUGCAGCUUUCAAAUCGACGAUCGGUUCCGUUAGACAUGAUCUAUACUAUUGAAAGUAUUUGGAAACUAAAUUUCAUAAUUUUUCGGCAUCAUUAGGCUAGUGAUUAAAAAGUCUCAAAAUUGACAAUUUUAAUGGUAGAUGUGAUGCGUUUGUGAAUUUAACGGUGUAAAACAAUCCAAAUAUAAUGAAAUUUUUAUAGAAAAUUCUUUUCACUAUUUAGAGUAAAAUCAGUACCUCUGAUCUUAAAUUUAAGUCUUUUAUCAUCAUUUUUUAUGAAAUUUUUAUUUCAGCCGUUCAUUUUUACACUACUCGUUUGAUAGGUAAAUGAUCCUGAAAAACUAUGAAAUUUAGUUUCCAAAUACUUUCAAUAGUGUAGAUCAACUCUAACGGAGCCGUGGCGUAGUUGCAGGAGAAUAGGAUGUGUUCUAGGUCCUCUCCAUUCUUCGAGCAAAGAACACAAAUCGAUGGACCACACUAGCCCCUUUUAGAUAAUGUGUCAGCUGUCAAAAUUUUGUUUCUCGCGUAGAGGGAUUUUGAGCUUCAAGAGGAAAGGGAUACUGCAAGCAUUUAUGCCAUCAAAGAUAAGCAAGUCAUAAGCGUGGCGUACCUCAAACCGACCAUCGUCGUUCCAACGCCAAGUGGUUGAGUCGUUAGCAUUCGAUAGGGAAGUAUUCUGGAACAAUGUUUUGAGUCGCGGAAGCUCUUCCAGUUGCUCUUGUAGGCACGACUUGGGUCGAAAUCCCAGAGUGUUGUUUUGGGCAAAACGCCGCAUCCAAUUAGCGACCGAGAUGUGUUUGUGGCUCGAAAUGGCAUAGAGGUUAGGGAAUUGGUUCUGCAGGGAGAACUCUCCGGACCAUCUCGCAUUCCAGAAAGAUGUAUCCUUCCCAUUACCCAGUGAAAUGCAAGUGGACACGUGAAAUGGUAGUGCGGUGCUGAGAAUCCCUUUCCAGAUUUGGCAGCACCUAGUAGUCGAAUUGCCUCCAACAGACGGUUGUCGAUGCUUGUAAUGUUUUUGCUUAAGAAGUCGGACCCAAGGAUGGUCGUGAGAGUUGUAGAGAUUCCAUAGUCCCUUCAUCAGUAGUGCCGAGUUCAUCACGUAAAGGUUUCAAACGCCCAAUCCCCCCCAUUUUUUUGGGCGACAUACUUCUUCCCACUUAACUAGGCAAUGAAAGCCAUUAUGCAGUUUUCGCCCCUUCCAGAAAAAAUGGCAACGGAUUUUGUCGAUGGACUUUAUAACCCAGGUUGGCAAACAAAACAGCGAGCAAAAAUAGGAUGGGAUGCUAGAAAGAACCGAAUUAAGUAGUACAAGUUGAGGCCCCCUUGAGAGUGUUAGCCCCUUCCAUCCCGCCAAGCAGUUAUCGAUCCUCUCAAUAAGCGACAUGUAAUUAGUUUUGUGUAAUCUCUUAGGUGAGAGAGGUAGUCCCAAGUAGGUCAGUGGAAAGUCUUUCAUAGAGCAACCAAUGGAGUUAGCUAAGGAUGCAGCUUGGGUAGCAGAUAAAUUAAUUGAGGCAACAGAGCUUUUACUGUAGUUGAUCGUGAGGCCCGAGCAUGCCGCAAACUUGUAAAGAAUAAGUUUAGUAGUUGCAGCUGACCUUGUGGAGCCAUCCAAGAAGAUAAUCAAUCCAUGAAAAUAAUCAGAUCAUCCGCAAAUUGGAGUGUGUGCAGUCUAGCAUUUCUGAUCCCAAGGUCCGGUAGCAGGUGGGUUGUAGUUACGAUCUGGAGCAAUUUGAAUAGAACAUCUACGCAUAAGAUAAAGAGGAGAGGAGAGAGCAGAUCGCCCUGCCUAAGCCCACGCUUACAAGUGAUGCUUUUACCCGGAGUGCCAUUAAGAAUCACAGACGUGCUACCCAUUUGAAGCAGAGCUUGAAUCCAUGUAAUCCAACGCGGGCUAAAGCCCCUCGCUUGGAGAAGAUCAAUCAGGAAACACCAAUUUACUUGGUCAAAGGCCCGCUCGAAGUUGAUCUUCAAGAGGGCUGCCCAGUGCUUGGAGGUGUGUAGAUGAUGGAUGAGGAUAUGGGCACAGUUGAAGUUAUCAGAAAUAUGACAACCAUUAAUGAAGGCAGCUUGGUGAGGGUUGAUCAAAUCAUUCAAGAAGAUUUGUAGUCAUGAAGCUAGGACCUUCGAAAUGAGUUUAGUCAUGCUGUGUACCAGACAUAUAGGGCGGAAGUCAUUGGCGAGUAUAGCCUCUUUCUUCUUCGGAAUAAGACAUAACCAGCUGGUGUUGAUCAUAUCCAGAUUCGCCGUACCACUGUGGAAGUGUUCUUUGCUACUAACUCCCGAUGUUACGUUAUCGGCCGCCACCGUAACCCUCCGCGAAGUUAGAGGCAAUACACUUUGAUUAAACUCCAAUAUUUUAGAGUUAAUAUAAAAUCCAAUCAUUACACUUUCGCUUACAAGUCAAAUAGACCCCGUCUCUCACGAGCCUAUUUUCUAUAGUCCAACCGGCCUAAGAUUUGCUAGGUCCACUAAGACUCAACCCUAGACUCUGAUACCAAUAUAAUCUAUCACGCACCGAGGCCCAGCGGAAGCCCGCCCGGCAUGUGUCCAGACCCGCCAUAUACCCACAAUAUAUAAGGCGUCUACAACAAAGCGAUAAUUAAAGCAACAAUAACAAGUAUCUAGAGAUAUCAAAGCAUGUUUACAACUAAAUUCUAAUGACAGGUAGAAUAUAAAAGGGCUAAACAACUAUCAUAAUCCACAAGUAGAUACAUCAAGAUCUCAAAUACAAGUGCUAGAUAUACGAAAAUGGUGGUCUCUACACAUAGGUACAAAACUCUUAUCCUCUCCAAAUAAAAACAAAAACAAAAAGAGAGGUGAACCACAUAAUAGCAAUACCCCUCGCUAACUAGCUAGUGGCGAUCCCUUUACCGCGAUCCCGAGCCUCUCCCGGUGCGGAUGGCUCUGUAACAAAAACAUCAACAUAGAGGGCGUGAGAACUAUUAAUCAAUAGUUCCCAGUGGGUAAGCCGCCGACAUCAGCGAAAUACACUACUAGGUUAUGGAGGCAUAAAUAGUAAGAUCUAACAUUUAAUGAAAUGGACAGCAUGUAUAUUAAACAUGAAUAAAUCUUAUUAACUACUAUGCCUCUACUUAGCAUGAAUGUCCACAAGUAUGAGUGCUAUUCUAACAAGAAUAAGCAUAUAUAUAAAUAGCAUGAUGUCCAUAAAUGCAACUAGUAAAAUGUCAACAUUUACAAUUAGUCUAAUGUCCAUAUUGCAUUUUAGUUCAACAUUGUUCCAAUCAUAGAGGACCUACACAAGGUAGUCCGGCUUGCGCCGUGCCUAAUGGCCCCAUGGUAGUCAACAUUUCCACCCUAGGGAUGAGCUUCCCCAACGGCAUCCCAUUUCGGCGCCCAAUCCCGCACGGGCUAGCAUAUGUCGCAAUGUCUAUCUCCGGAGUGCUGGCUUGUUGUGAGCGACCCUCACAAUCAUCCGUCUCAAGUCUAAUGUUAUCAUGUCUAAAAUAUGGUAUAACAGUUAGUAACUCAAUGGCUUAUCACUAUGUCAUCAAGAAGGAGUUUAACAAUUUACUAAGUUAAAUGCCUCUUUAUAACAUUUUUGUCCACUAUGUCAAACAUGAGUUCUAUGUCUAAGAGCAUAUUUUUCUUGUCAUUUUCAUUACAUGAAACAUGAUUUUAAGCCAUAUCAAAGAAUGCUAUUUACAUAUAUGAUUACUAUACACGUAUCUCUCUACUACAUAGAGGUGAUUUUUCAUGAAACAUAACACAUUUAUUUUAAGCAUUCUAAAACUCACAUAUGCCCUAUCUAGCAUGAAUAUGCAUGAUUUUCUAUUUUACAAUAAAGAAAAUAGCAUAGGGGGAGUUCACCCAUUUCGGUGAGGUCAAACCCACCAAAAACUCCUCGGAUCCCCUUCGUUUGCGCGAACGAAAGUUUCCACAAGUCUCCUACCUUCCUAGAGAUAAUUCUAAGAGAGGUAGACGAAAUGAACGAACACUACACGAGUUCAUCUUUAACCAAUCCAAGAAAAGGGCAAAACUCACCUUGUAUGGUGAAAAACCCUCACAAUCUCCAAAUGGACGCUAGAGUACUUCAAAUCCAACCUAGAUGAAGGUUCUACACCUAUCAAUUAAGCCCUAAAAGCCACAAAUCAAAAACCCCCAAAUAAAAUCCUAGAUUUCACAUUCUAGGUUUUCAUCUCAAGAAAGCUACCAAAAUAAGAUCUAAGGUACUAACCUCUCAAUAAGCUCCAAACCAAGCUUGAAAUGAGCUAAGGUUGAAGAUUUAUUCUCUAGCAAGCUCCACUCUCUAAUCCAAGGCUUCUCCAAUGGUGGAAAUCCAAAUGAAGCAAGAAGGAGAGGAAAAAAGAGAUUAAUCCAAGCAAAAACCUCAAGAAAUGAGAGAAAAUCAAGGGAGAGGAGCUCUACCUGUGCUCUCCAUGGUUUAGGGCUCAAAAGAGCUCUCCAAAGGGCUGUAGGGGGUUAUAUAGAGAUGUAACAAUCUCAAAAAGACCCUCCAACAAUAUGCAGUCUGCAUCUGCACUGCGUACUAGUGACACGGGAUGGAGUACCGGUACCAGGCAGCAGCACGCGCAAACCCGAGUCUCGGGUAAGCAAGAAAACACACUGCGUACCGGUACUCUCACGAUGCAGUAUCAGUACCAGCUCCAGUACCUGUACUCAGGCAAUGCAGUACCGGUACUCUGCUCUGCAGAGCUCAACCCGAAAGCAGCCCCAAUUCCUGCAAUUUAGAGGUUUGGUGCUAAGUUUUAAUCCUCACUCCUCGGGAUGCGAGUCAUAGGUCGGAACACAGUCAACAACCAUCCAGAAUACCUGAAAAAACUCAGAACACUGCUCAAACAGUCGAACCUUGCAAUUUGCUAAAGUCCAGUGUGUUAAAUUCUUCCCUCCUAUAAAGGAGUUUCGUCCGCGAAACUAAAAAGCAAGUUACCUCAAAACUCCAUCUGAAAAAGAUGGGAAUAGUGUUCCUGCAGUGCGUUUUCUAAUUCCCACGUGGCCUUGCGUUCAUCGUGGUUGCUCUAAAGAACCUUCACAUAAGGAAUAUCAUGAUUUCGAAGCUUCUUCACCUCGCGGGUCAAAAUUCUCACCGGUUGCUCUUCAAAGCUCAAGUUAUCUCUCAGCUCUAAUGGUAUAGCUUCCAAAACGUGAGCCGGAUCGAAAAUAUACUUCCGAAGGACCGAUACAUGAAAGACAUUGUACACUCCCGAUAGGUUCGGUAGUAGAGCGAGUCGAUAUGCUACCGGCCCUACACGCUCCAAAAUCUCAUACGGUCCAAUAAAGCGGAGACUCAACUUACCCCGAAUGCCAAAUCUUCUAACUCCCUUAGUUGGCGAGACCUUCAAGAAUACAUGAUCUCCAACUUUGAAUUCCAAAUCUCAUCGACGCUUAUCGGCAUAGCUCCUCUGUCUACUUUAAGCCGUCAACAGUCGCUCUCGAGUAAUGCGAACCUUGUCCUCUACUUCCUAGAGCACAUCGGGGCCUAAGGCCAAACUCUCGCCAACUUCACUCCAAUGAAGUGGCGAUCUACACUUCCGUCUAUAAAGUGCUUCAAAGGCGCCCUACAGGCUCCUCCAAAAGUGAGAUACAAAUUUGGGAUCUCGAUCAGACACUAUAGAAGUAGGCACUCCAUGAAGCCGCACAAUCUACACUUGUGCGAGCUUCUCUCCUGUCCAAGUCGUGUGAAUAGGUAUAAAAUGAGCCGAUUUCGUUAACCUAUCCACAAUCACCCAAAUAGCAUCAUGCCUGGCCUGAGAGCGAGGCAAACCCAUAACAAAAUCCAUGGUGAUCCUUUCCCACUUCCACAUGGGAAUAGGUAAACUCUGAAGUUUUCCCGAGGCCAGUCGGUGCUCAGCUUUCACUUAUUGACAAGUUAAAUAUCGAGCUAUAAACUCGCCAAUAUCCUUUUUCAUCUUCGGCCACCAAUAAAGUAACUUCAAAUCCUUAUACAUUUUUGUGCCUCCCGGAUGUAUAGCAUAAGGUGCACAGUGAGCUUCAAGAAGAAUAUCCUCUUUAAUUCCCGAUUCCGCCGGUACACAAAUCCGCCCACGGAACCGCAACAACCCUUGGUCAUCCAUAAUGAAAUCACCGGUGUAACCAUCAACCACCUUAGCUCGAACCUUUUGCAACUGCACAUCGUGAACUUGCUUUUCUUUAAUCCUUUCCAAUAAGGUAGGUUGCACCACCAAUACCAUCAGUCUCAAGGGUGUAUCAGGAACCACUACUUCCAACUCCCACCGUUUUAUUUGUUCAAUCAACGGCGGUUGAGUCACCACAAGCAUCGCUAAGUUAUCCGUCGAUUUCCAACUUAGCGUAUCCGCCACUACGUUAGCGUUGCCCGGGUGGUAAAGAAUCGUCAGAUCAUAAUCCUUGAGUAGCUCCAACCAUCUGCGCUGUCUCAAGUUCAACUCCUUCUGAGUGAAUAAAUACUUUAAGCUCUUAUGAUCCGUGUACACUUCACAGCGCUCGCCAUAAAGAUAGUGACGCCAUAGCUUUAAUGCAAAGACUACGGCCGUCAACUCUAAAUCAUGUGUAGGAUAGUUUCUCUUAUAUUCCUUCAAUUGGCGAAAAGCAUACGCGAUCACCUUCUCAUCCUGCAUCAAGACAAAGCCCAAUCUAUUAAAAGAUGCAUCACUAUAAAUCACAUACCCUGCUCCUGCAACUGGUAAGGUCAAGUCGGGGCGGUUGUCAAUCGUUCCUUCAACUCUUGAAAGCUUCUCUCGCACGCAUAAUUCUAAAUGAACUUAGUGCCUUUGUGCGUGAGCCGCGUGAGCCGCGUGAGGGGAGUAGAUAACUUUGCAAAUCCCUCAACAAAUCUCCGGUAGUAGCCGGCCAAUCCAAGAAAGCUUCGAAUCUUGGUGACGCUCGUCGGUCUAGGCCAAUCCUUGAUAGCUCCAAUCUUUCUAGAAUCCACGGCUAUACCCUAUCCCGAAAUUAAGUGUCCUAGGAAUGCCACCUCUCGAAGCCAAAAUUCACACUUUUUCAGCUUGGCAUAAAGCUUCCUUUCCCGAAGCACUUGAAGUAUAAGUCUUAGAUGCUCCUCGUGAUCCCCAUCACUUCGGGAAUAAAUCAAGAUGUCGUCGAUAAACACCACGACGAAUCUGUCCAAAUAAGGCUUGAAAAUACGGUUCAUUAGAUCCAUAAAAGGUGCCGGGGCAUUAGUAAGCCCAAACGGCAUAAAGGUAAACACAUAAUGUCUAUAACGUAUUCUAAAGGCCGUCUUCGAUACAUCCUCAGGCUUGAUCUUUAACUGGUGGAAUCCCGACUGCAAGUCUAUCCUGGAAUACACACUUGAUUCCUGAAGCUGAUCAAAUAGAUCAUUAAUCCUCGGCAACAGAUACUUGUUCUUGAUCGUGACUUUAUUAAGUUCACGAUAAUCCACGCACAAACGAAGUGAUCCGUCCUUUUUCUUGACAAAUAAAAUCGGUGCCCCCCAAGGUGAAACACUCGGUUGAACGAAGCCUUUAUCCAAUAAAUCCUACAACUGUGCCCUCAGCUCUUUCAACCCCGCCGGUGCCAUCCUACGGGGUGCCUUUGAGAUUGGGGUAGUCCCAGGGAUGAGAUCUAUCACAAACUCAAUCUCCCUAUCAGGUGGCAUACCUGAUAGCUCUGCUGGAAACACAUCACAAAACUCCUGCACCACCGGAAUAUCCUCAAUCCUAGGGGUAUCAUCAUCACCCCUCAGUACCACACUAGCCAAAUAGGCUAUACAACCCCUGCUGAUCAACUGUCUAGCUCGAGACGAGCUCAUCGUCAUCGCAAAUAGCGAACUCUAACAUCCCCUGAACACCACUUCCUUCUGCCCCGGUUCUCUAAAUGUGACCGUUCGAUUCUUGCAAUAGAUAGUGGCGAAGUAUCUCGUCAGCCAAUCCAUGCCCAAAACCACGUCAAACUCACCGAGUUUAUGCAAUGCAAGUAAAUCCACGGGCAUAACCCAAUUUCCUACCCGAACAGGGCAAUUGGGGCAAAACUCCUGAAUGUCCAAAGUGUGGUCGGAUACUACAACACGUCCCGGAUACAACAAAAAAACUAGUGGGAUGCCAUGCAACUCGGCGAACAGCCGAUCUAUGAAUGAAUGCGAUGCACCGGUAUCAAACAAAGCUCGAACUCUAAUGCCAUUUAAUAAAAUGAUUCCUGCCAUCACAUCCUCGGCCACUGCCACCUCCUCUGUCUGGGCCGCAUACAUGCGCCCACUCGGGGUCUGUCGUGACCCCUCAGUCAGUCGCUGGACGGGUGGCCGCUCAGACUAAUAGUGUGUCGACGGAGUCCCUUGGCUAGUAGCUGGUAAAACCGGUGCCAAUGCAGAUGAUGAUGCCGGUGACGAACCCCUUGGGCACUCGGUACAAAAGUGGCCUUCCUGGCCACAAAGGAAACACCUGCCUCCCCGCUGUGGAAACUGCGGUAGAAUGUGGGGACCACUGUAGAUCACACACUGGGGAGGUCGGCGACGAUUAGAACCUUCUUGCUCCGCAGAUGAGCCACGCCUUCUCAACUGGCUUCUCGGGGGUCUCGGCGGCCUCCUGGAGCGCGCCUGACUUGCACCCUCAGCCGCGGACCUUUUGCCCUUACCCUUGUCAAAGCCUUCCCUUCGCUCCUGCACAUCCACUGUGCCCCUCUCCAUAAUGAGAGCGCGGUUCACCACCUCCGGGUAGGUUUGCAGUUUCGACGAUUGCACAAACCAGAAGAUCGAUGGUCGAAGUCCACUCUCAAAAAUACGGGCCUUGUCCUCGUUGUCCCGCAUGACAAAAGGCACGCAAUGGUGAAGCCGGGAGAACUCGCGCUCGUACUUAGCUACUGUUCGCUCACCCUGGCACAAGCUGCGCAAAUCUCUCUCCAUUUGCCUCUUGGCGCUGUCGGGGAAAUAGUGCGCCAAUAGAAGCUCCUUGAACCGCUUCCAACUAAUAGCAGAUAGAUCGGUGUUGGGGUUAUCUCGGAUAUCCAACCACCAACGAUAGGCCUCGCCGUCCAGGUGGUGAGUGGCGAGCCAAACUCUGUCGCUCUCCUCCACGAAGGUAUCAUAGAAAAGCUUCUCCAUGUGUAUCAACCACUUCUCCACGAUCCAGUAGUCGACCUUCUCUCCAUCGAAGAUUCGGAGAUUGCACCUCUUAAACUUUAAGGCGAUCCAAAAAUCGGUCCCGCUCCUCCCACACAACCAUCACGGAAAAAACUGCCCCCGCUAGAGGCUCCUGAAUAGGUGGUGCCGCAACCACCUCCUCCCGAGGCGCGACCACGGGUGCCACACGUGAAGAGCUGGGCGCGGGAGAUGGCGCUCUCGAUGCUACAUCCUCUGCUGGCGUGGGUGGUGUGGGAGCCUGAAUGUUCCUAGAAGCCGCCUGCUGAAGUAGCAAGUCCUUGAGCCGCUUCAUCCUUGCUUCCUGUCGGCGCGCCACAUCGGCUUGUUGCUGUGCCGCCGUUGCCUGCUCGGCCACCAAGUCGGUUAGGACCGAAAGCUGUGUCCUCAGCUCGCGGACCUCACUAGAUCCGGAGGUAGCUAAGGUCUCCACCUCCUCGAAGUUUGCCGCAUUAUCCGCUCCAACAGAUUUAGAGCGAGUCAUCGGCAUUAUCACUACAACAACAUAAAAGCGCAAGUUAGUAAAACCCACGUUAUCGCAACCCUACUCAAAAAGAUUAAUGCCCCAAAUAAUGCGAAAGUAAGGAAGUGUUCUUUACUACUAACUCCCGAUGUUACGUUGUCGGCCGCCAACGUAAUCCUCCGUGAAGUUAGAGGAAAUACACUUCGAUUAAACUCCAACAUUUUAGAGUUAAUAUAAAACCCAAUCAUUAUACUUUCACUUACAAGUCAAAUAGACCCCGUUUCUCACGAGCCUAUUUCCUAUAGUCCAAUCGGCCUAAGGAUUGCUAGGUCUACUAAGACUCAACCCUAGGCUCUGAUACCAAUAUAAUCUGUCUCGCCCCGGGGCCCAGCGGAAGCCCGCCCGGCGCGUGUCCAGACCCGCCAUAUGCCCACAACAUAUAAGGUGUCUACAACAAAGUGAUAAUUAAAGCAACAAUAACAAGCAUCUAGAGAUAUCGGAGCAUGUUUACAACUAAAUUCUAAUGACAAGUAGAAUAUAAACGAGCUAAACAACUAUCAUAAUCCACAAGUAGAUACAUCAAUAUUUCAAAUACAAGUGCUAGAUAUACAAAAAUGGUGGUCUCUAUACAUAGGUACAAAACUCUCAUCCUCUCCAAAUAAAAAUAAAAAGAGAGGUGAACCACCUAAUAGUAAUACCCCUCGCUAACUAGCUAGUGGCGAUUCCUUUACCGCGAUCCCGAGCCUCUCCGGGUGCGAAUGGCUCUGUAACAAAAACAUCAACAUAGAGGGCAUAAGAACUAUUAAUCAAUAGUUUCCAGUAAGUAAGCCGCCGACAUCAGCGAAAUACACCACUAGAUUAUGGUGGCAUAAAUAGUAAGAUCUAACAUUUAAUAAAAUGGACAGCAUGUAUAUUAAACAUGAAUAAAACUUAUUAACUACUAUACCUCUACUUAGCAUGAAUGUCCACAAGUAUGAGUGCAUUCUAACAUGAAUAAGCAUAUAUAUAAAUAGCAUGAUGUCCACAAAUGCAACUAGUAGAAUGUCAACAUUUACAAUUAGUCUAAUGUCCAUAUUGCAUUUUAGUUCAAAUUGUUCCAAUCAUAUAGGACCUACACAAGGUAGUCAGGCUUGCGCCGUGCCUAAUGGCCCCAUGAUAGUCAACAUUGCCACCUUAGGAAUGAGCCUCCCCCACGAUAUCCUAUUUCGGCGCCCAAUCCCGCACGGGUGAGCAUAUGUCGCGAUGUCUAUCUCCGAAGUGCCGGCUUGUGGGGAGCGACCCUCACAAGCAUGUGCGAUGAGCACAAUGGCAAGCAAGCUUAAUCAUUUGUCUCAAGUCCAAUGUCAUCAUAUCUAAAAUAUGGUAUAAAAGUUAGUAACCCAAUGACCUAUCACUAUGUCAUCAAGUAGGAGUUUAACAAUUUACUAAGUUAAAUGCCUCUUUAUGACAUUUUUGUCCACUAUGUCAAACAUGAGUUCUAUGUCCAAGAGCAUAUUUUUCUUGUCAUUAUCAUUACAUGAAACAUGAUUUUAAGCCAUAUCAAAGAAUGCUAUUUACAUGUAUGAUUACUAUACACAUAUCUCUCUACUACAUAGAUGUGAUUUUUUAUGAAACAUAAUACAUGUAUUUUAAGCAUUCUAAAAUUCACAUAUGCUCUAUCUAGCAUGAAUAUGCACGAUUUUUCAUUUUACAAUAAAGAAAAUAACAUAGGGGGAGUUCACCCAUUUCGGUGUGGUCAAACUGUCACGCGCCGAGCCCCCGCCUAUUUCGUUGGAUUCGAGCACGCCAACAGACCGCCGAACGGACAGGGUUUUUCCUGUACCGCGGACAGAGUCUUCCCUGUACGUCCAAGCCGUCACAAUCCAUACAAUGCGCGAGGUUCCAACCAGGAACAACAUUCAAACAUAGAUUGCAUAAGGAAGGUAUCGAAAACAUAAAUACAUCUAUGCUAUUACAAGCAUUCAUCUCAGUUUUUAUUUUACAAUACAUUAACUUCGAUUCUUACUACCAAAUAUAAUCCAGAUUUUACAAAUCAUUACAUUCUUGUCUUUUCAUCAUUAUACCCCUAAGCUAAGCCGACUUAAGUUACUACUAUCUCUGGCCUCAGUGGUAGGGUGCUAUCUAUAGAGCUACGCCUUUUUCUUGCGCCGCCGCGCCGCUCGCGUGUGAACCUGAAACUCCCAAAAUCAUGUGGGGUGAGAACUAUAUAAAUAUAGUUCCCAGUGGGUACGGUCACCCAAGGGAAGAGCUCGACCCACCAGGUCCAAAGGAGGCACUGCAAACAUGUUAGUUCCACAGAUAUAUAUAUAUAUAUAUAUAUAUAUAUAUAUAUAUAUAUAUAUAUAUAUAUAUAUAUAUAUAUAUAUAUAUAAAAAUAUAUAUAUAUAUAUAUAUAUAUANUAUAUAUAUAUAAAACAUCAUAUAAGUCAUGUUCAUGCCUCACAACAUGCAACUAUGCAAAUCAUGCAACUCAUGCAAGUAGAUCACUCGUUCUACUCACUAUCACUUGCCAUUCUUUAUCAUUUACCAUUAUUUAAUACUAGCCAUUCUUUAUCACUUGCGAUUCUUAGUUCUUUAACAUUCUUUAUUCUUUGACAUUCUCUACUUUUUUCUAAGGUUACCUUUACCUUAGCCAACUAUGCCACUCGACUCGGUCUUGAGUCAAUCAACCGCGGAUAAUCCGCGCUUUGUCAGGCUCGAGGUGAAGAACGUCUCACAUGCACCUCAGCCUUAAAUCCACAAGCCACAUCGCCCAACGGGUCGCCCAGAGCUGCGUACACUCGUGGUCAGGGACCCCCGGUGGGAGAGGAACAUGCCGCAUAAACCCACAGCCGAGAUCCUCGAUAUGGAGGGGAACAUGCCACAUACACCCUUGCGCUCAAUCACAAUCCUCGAAGUUCUUCCGGUGGGAGAGGAACAUGCCACAUGCACCCGCGGCAAAAAACUAUCGAGCUCACAAGUCUUGGGAUUCCGGAAUCCACUUUCCAAAGCUCAAGGGUUGGUCUUACCCAAUGUCAUUACCGUCUUUAGGUUUGGCUCAUACAUAUCCUAGUGGUCACUCUACCACUAUGAUCCAUAACAACUCAUGACCUAGGUUACUCAACACUAGGUCCAAUGUCCUUUCCAUCCUAGGUCCACUUGACUCUAGGUUCAAUGUUAUUCAUCUCAUAACCUAGAUUUACUUGACUCUAAGUUCAAUUCUCAACCUAUGUUUAAUGACACUAGGUUUCAAUGCCACUCAUGAAUCACCUAUGUUCAAUGACACUAGGUUUCAAUGCCACUCAUGAUUCUUGUCAUCCUAGUUAUCCACACUUAGGAUUCUUUACAUGCCAUACUUGUCGAGUUCUUUACUAUACUUAGAGUUCAUCAACUCAAGUUCAACAUUCAUGUCAUUCUAGCAUAUUCUCACAAUAUGUCCUCAUGCAUAUAUUCUUUAGCAUCACAUACACAUGCCUAUGUUCUUAUCAAAAUGGUAGUCAACAUAUCUCAUGCAUACAUUGGCAUAUAUCUUAUGCAUUUAUUAGCAUCUAUCACAUGCAUAGGGAUGUCAAUGGGUAUGGAUACCCGAAAUUUUAUCCGAACCCGAACCCGAAUGAAACGGAUAUAUCUGAUGGAUAUGGAUAUGGAUUUGGAUACGGAUAUAAAAAAUAAAAACCCGACGGAUAUGGAUUCGAAUAUGGAUUUUGAUUGUACCCGACCCGAACCCGAACCCGACCCGAACCCGAAUUUAUUUUGUAUUAUAUAUAAUAUAUAUAUAAAAAUUUGAUGUUAUAUUUGAAUUUGUAUUUUAAAAUUUUAAAUUUAAUAUAAUAUAUUUUGAAAUAUUGAAAAAAGAAAUAAUUGUUUCGGGUUCAAAUUUUUCUGUUCGGGUUCGGGUUCGGGUUUCGGAUUUUUGGUCGGGUUCGGGUUUGGAUAUGGAUUUUUAAAAUCCGUCGGGUUCGGGUUCGGGUUCGGGUCUCGGGUUUGGAGUCGGGUUUGGGUUCCGGUUUUUAAAAAUCCGCCCUCUACACAUGCAUUCAUUAGCAUCUAUCACAUGCUUUCAUCAUUAGCAUAUAUCGUAUACAUUCAUCUAGCAUUUGGCUUAUGCAUUCACUUAACAUCUAACUCAUACAUUCACUUGCUUUGCAAUUUGCUACCAUUACAUGCAUCAAUGACGAAACACACUAUACUUUGGCAUGGAAGCGACCUAAUCGCUUCGAUGAGCACAACCCACCUCUUAACAGUCUCCGAUUGUUUGUAGUCACUUGCAAUCGGGCUCCCGCGGCACACGUUGUCCGGUUCAGCUCCAACUCGCAAUUGAUCGCCGAACGCCCAACAAUCCGCGACCUAGGGUCUUCAAGGGCCUUUCUCUAACCUUCAAUUAGAGAAUAAUAGGAUUAUAAUAGAUCAAAACCUUCAUUUGCCCAAAACCCCAAUUCUAUCCCCAGCAUAAGCAUAUUCUCCAAAUAACCCAAAAUUCAUGGAGAAAAUAUGCUAGAAAUACUCUAGAGAUCAUUAGAAUCUUAUACAUAAAGGAUUUAAUUGAAAUCCCAACAGUUACCAAAAUGCGAACGCCGAGUCGAAAGCACCCCGCUCCACUGGGCGCACGGAGACUCGAUCCGUUGCUCCACACACGUUCCCAAGCUUCUUCUCCACCAACCCUCCGAAUUUGGAAGAGAGAUCUAGAGAGAGGAGAGAGCUUCUCUCUCUACCACCAUGAAUGUGUGUGUGUGUUCUUUGGGCUGUGGGAGGAAGAAAAAGGGAUGGCCCCAUUUUUAAGUCAACCCCCACCCAAUUUACAACACUGCCCCUACUCAAACUGGGCAAUUUUCGAGCUCGGGGUCCGGACCCUGGCAACUAGUGUCCGGACCCCGUAGGUCCAGACAGCCCAGUAAUUUAGUACUUAGCCAAAUAUCAGCAUUUUUCAGCUUUUUCUCCGUUUUCGCUCGUUUUCGUUCGUUUGACCUCCGAUUCAUCUCAAAUCGCACCGAGACCCCCAAAACACAUUUUCGACCGCGUUUAAACCUUCUUUUCAUCCACGCUUUGCCGGAUUUUAGGCAAAGUCCAACAUAGCUUUUCGGAUUCCGUUUUCGCGCCCAACGCGCACCGAAAACACCCGAAUGCUCUCGAACUUUACCGGGACAAUUCUAAUAGUUUCUAACAUCCACCGAAACUUCAUAACUUUAGAAGUUCAGUAUAUCACACAAACCCACCAGGAACUCCUCGGAACCCCUUCAUUUGCGCAAACGAAGGUGUCCACAAGUCUCCUAACUCCCUAGAGAUAAUUCUAAGAGGGUUAGACGAAAUGAACGAACACUACACGAGUUCAUCUUUAACCAACCCAAGAAAAGGACAAAACUCACCUUGUAUGGUGAAAAACCCUCACAAUCUCCGAAUGGAAGCUAGAGUACUUCAAAUCCAAUCUAGAUGAAGGUUCUACACCUAUCAAUUAAGCCUCAAAAACCAUAAAUCAAAAACUCCCAAAUAAAAUCCUAGAUUUCAAAUUCUAGGUUUUCAUCUCAAGAAAGCUACCAAAACAAGAUCUAAGGUACUAACCUCUCAAUAAGCACCAAACUAAGCUUGAAAUGUGCUAAGGUUGAAGAUUUAUUCUCUAGCAAGCUCCACUCUCCAAUCCAAGGCUUCUCCAAUGGUGGAAAUCCAACAUGAAGCAAGGAGGAGAGGAAAAGAGAGAUCAAUCCAAGCAGAAACCUUAAGAAAGGAGAGAAAAUCAAGGGAGAGGGGCUCUACUUGUGCUCUCCACGGUUUAGGGCUCAAAAGAGCUCUCCAAAGUGUUGUAGGGGUUAUAUAGAAAUGUAACAAUCUCAAAAAGACUCUCCAACAACGUGCAGUUUGCAUCUGCACUGCGUACCAGUGACACGGGAUGGAGUACCGGUACCAGGUAGCAGCACGCGCAAACCCGAGCCUCGGGUAAGCGAGAAAACACACUGCGUACCGGUACUCUCACGAUGCUGUAUCGGUAUCUGCUCCAGUACUGGUACUUAGGCAAUGCAGUACCGGUACUCUGCUCUGCAGAGCUCAACAAAAGAGCAGCCCCAAUUCCUGCAAUUUAGAGGUUUGGUGCUAAGUUUUAAUCCUCACUCCUCGGGAUGCGAGUCAUAGGUCGGAACACAGUCAACGACCCUCAAGAAUACCUGGGAAAACUCAGAACACUGCUCAAACAGUCGAACCUUGCAAUUUGCUAAAGUCCAGUGUGUUACAGUAGAAGGUGUUGAAAACUCCCAUAAUGUCAUCUUUAAGGAGGUUCCAGAAUCGCUAGUAGAAUAACAUCGGUAGUCCAUCAGGAUCAGGGGCCUUCUCAGAAGCACUAGAGAAAACGGCUCUCCUUACUUUGCUUAAAGUGAACGGUGCCUGAAUACUUGAGAGGUCCAAAUGUUCAUCACCAUAGGGUGCCUAGAGAUUAAUACCGGCAGAGGGAACAUGUUCCACACCCAGCUGGUUGAGGAAGAAGAAGAAGAGGUGCUCUGCGAUCAACUCAGGCGAGGAAAGAGUGGCAGAGCCGUUCGAAAGUUUAGAAAUGAAAUUUUUGUUCCUGCGAGCAUUGGCCUUGAGGAGAAAAAAUUUUGUAUUGGCAGCUCCAACCUUAAGCCAUUGAACUCUAGAUUUCUGCUUCCACUUAAUCUCCUCUUGUAAGCAAAGGUCUUCGUAUCUGGCCUUAAGCUUCGGUCUCAAACUGCGCUCAAGGGCCAUUAGGAGUCUUCCUUAUUCUGCUUUGUCAAGCCAGUCGAUCCAGAGAAGACAUCGUUUAGCCUAUUCCCUUAUUGUUGAAGAGAGACCUGCGCUCCAAGAUCGAAGAGCAGAUUGGACAGAUUUGAUUUUCUAUGAGAAAAGAUUCACGGGGUCGGAAUUAGGCAAAAUCGAAUUCCACGCCAUGGAGACUACAUCCAUGACAGCAGGGUGACGUAGCCAGUAGCUCUCAAAUCUGAAUUGAUUGGCAUGAGGAAUGAAGGUGUAGGCUGAAAGUACCAAGGGCGUGUGGUCAAAUCGCGGUCGCGGGAGGGCUCGUAGGGUGGAUCGGGGAAAAACAAGUAGCCAGGCACUGGAGAUAAAAGUGCAAUCCAGACGCUCUAGAGUCGAAACACCCCUACCAUUAGACCAUGUGAAAGAUUUAUUUUGGAUGGGAAGAUCAACCAACCCAAUCUCAUGUACGACCUCUCUGAAGUUCAAGAUGUCAGUCACGCUUGCGGUGGGUCCAUUCUUGUCCUGAACGGAGAGUGGGACUUUGAAGUCGCCGAGCACAGUCCACACUCCAGAGAACAACUCACCAAUGGAGCGAAGUUCAUGAAAAAAGUCAGCUUUUAGAUUGGCCGCAGUAGGGCCGUAGACGCUCGAAAUCGUGAAUGAUUUUCUAUCCACUUUCCUCUUAAGCACCACAGUGAGCGAGAAUCUGCCAGCCCAUUCCUAAACACAGUUGAAGAGAGACGAAUUCCAUGCAGUGAGGAGACCGCCUCUAGUCCCCUCUGCAUUUUGAGUUCGAAAGUCAUGCAGGUGAAACCCAGAGAAGGAGCAAAACUUGAUAGUAGAAGUAGAGGAUAAUUUAGUUUCUUGAAAGCAUACAACACAGCAUUUGGAAUAUCGAAUGAAGGAUUUGACGACAGUGCACUUAGAGAGGUCAUUGAGGCCCCGUUAGGAAACGAAAGAUUCUGUUCCUAGCCAUUGAGAAAAAGAACAGCGACCUAGACUCAAAGCGAGGAGAGGCAGAAGCUACACCCCAGUCGUGUUCGCACCAAUAAUACUAGCAGCAGUGAUCCAGCAGGUAAGCACAACACCAACAUCUAUGUCGGUAAUUCCGCAGACGGUCUUGAUUAGUUGUAUCUCUUCAAGAGUAAGGGGGUGUAGCACACUGGACCUUUGCAAAUUGCGAGGUUCGAGUGUUUGGAAGUAUUUCGAAUGUUGUCCGACCUUUGCAAAUUGGCUUGUAGAAUGUUGUCCGACCUAAAAAGUUCGAAAACUGGAAUUCUGGACAAGUCCUGAGAGUUUUUACUCUCGGGGACCGAUCCCUGGAAGGAGAGACCGGUCCCCCAGUGAGCAGUGUUGCGGCAGCCCUGAGGCAACCGGUCCCUGGCGGGCGAGACCGGUCCCCGAGCGCGCCUUCGCAGUAAGAGACCGGUCCCGCGUAGGGAGAGACCGGUUCCCGAACGUUGGUUCUCCGGGUUCGCAGCGAGAGACCGGUCCCUGCUGGGGAGAGACGGGUCCCUCUGGGCGAAAACUGCCCAGUUCGGGCUGAUGCAAUUUUAGAUUUUUGAGGGACCUAGCUGGAUUUUGUUACAAUAGAGGGUCUAUAUGACCCAUCCCCUCUCUCUUCUUCUCAUUUCCCUCCUCACACUCUCCCCACACCCUUGUUAGAGAGAGAGAGAGGGAGAAAGAGAAGAAGAAGGAGGAGAAGGUUUUGGUGGACUUGGAGCAUUUCUUUGCCUCUCUUCCUCUUCCCACCUUGUUGGUGCUUGAAGGCUUGGACUUGGAGCUUGCAUAGGAGGAGAUCUUCACCCUUUGAGCUUGGAUUGAAGCUUCUUUGAGGUUGGUAGCCCUUUCUCUCCAUCUAGACUUGGAUUUGAGGCUUUCUUUGUGUUGGAACCCUAGAAUGAGGUUUAGGGUUGAUUUUGGGGCUUUUUGAAUUUAGGGCUUUUGGGGCUAAAUUAGUUGGUUUAGAACCUUCCUUGGGCUCGGAGUGGAAGGGUUCUAGCUCUCUUUUAGAGCUUUGGAAGAGAUUUCUUCUCUUGAUGUGAGAAUUGACCCCUUUUGCUUCUAGGUUAAUGUUUGAUAGUAUAAGAUGAUCGUAAUGCCCGUGUAUCUUGUCGCUCAAUACUUUUAGGGUAUUUUGAGACUCGAGGACAACUUCGUUCGGCGAAACGAGGCCCUACGCGACGGUUCGGUGGGUUUGAUCUAGCCUAUAUAUGAGAAAUUCUCACAUAUGGUUAUAUAUAUGUUCCGUAAAUGGGAAAAGCAUGCAUAUUCAUACUAAAUGUAUUUAUUAUGAUUUUUAGAAUGCUUAAAAUGCAUAUGUUACAUAUGAUGAAAUUUUGGACUCUAUGUAGUAGAAAGUUGCUUGGGAGAUCUAUGGUUGCAUUUAGCAUUCUUUAUGAGACUUGGUUCCAUACUUCUAUAGUGUAAAUGAGUUCGGAUUCAUACAUUUAAACUUAAGUUUACUUGUAACAUGAAAGAUGACAAAAUUGCCAUUUAGAAGGUGUGUGAACUAGAGAGCUAAUGUCUUCAAGUGGCAUUGAGCUCGGGACAUGUGUGAACCUAGUGGAUAGGGCCAUUGAGGAAUGUGGAACAUGCUUAAACAUUAAAUUUCUAAGUGUCAUAGAGGGGCACUAGACCUAGAGAAUGUUGGAACUUCAUUUGUGACUUAGAACUAGAUCUUCGAGAUGCUAGUGACUAUACCAUGUUAGAGACAUGAGGGUUGGAUACUUGAGACUUGGACUAUGCUUGCUUGCCAUUUGUGCUCAUUCGCACAUGCUUGUGAGGGUCGCUCCCUACAAGCCGGCACUCCGGAGUUUGCCUUCGCGACCUAUGUUCGCUCGUGCGAUAUUGAGAAGCCUACGNNNNNNNNNNNNNNNNNNNNNNCCCCUUGUUGGCUUGGAUUUUGGUGGAUUUACUCUUCUUUUUGCCUUUUGUGCUAUUUCCUCCAUGGUAGAGAGCUUGGUGCUUGGAGUUGAGCUUGGUUUGAGGAAGAUCACCACUUCUAAAGGGUUUUGAUCAUUGUUUUGGAGCUUCUAGAAGGUAAGCAACAUUUCCUUUCCCCUAGAAUUGGGUUUUGGUGUUCUCUACUAGAUGGAACCCUAGAAUGAGAGAUUAGGGUUGUUUUUGGGGCUUUUUGAUUAGAAGCUUUUGGAACCAAUCUAAUGGGAUUAGAACUUUGGAAUAGGUUCCUUUGAAUGUGAUUUGCCCUUCCUUUGAGCUUUGGAGAGGGAUUUCUACUCUUGAAGUGAGUUUUGGCCCUUUUUGCUUCUAGGUUAAUGUUUGAUCUUAUAGUUGAACGUAACGCCCGUGUAUCUCUUCGCUCAAUACUUUUAGGGUAUUUUGAGACUCGAGGACAACUUCGUUCGGCGAAACGAGGCCCUACGCGACGGUUCGGUGGGUUUGACCUAGCCUAUAUAUGAGAAAUUCUCACAUAUGGUUAUAUAUGUUCCGUAAAUGGGAAAAGCAUGUAUAUUCAUACUAAAUGUAUUUAUUAUGAUUUUUAGAAUGCUUAAAAUGCAUAUGUUACAUAUGAUGAAAUUUUGGACCUCUAUGUAGUAGAGAGUUGUUUGGGAGAUCUAUGGUUGCAUUUAGUAUUCUUUAUGAGACUUGAUUCCAUGCUUCUAUAGUGUAAAUGAGUUCGGAUUCAUGCAUUUAAACUUUAGUUUACUUGUGACAUGAAAGAUGACAAAAUUGCCAUUUAGAAGAUGUGUGAACUAGAGAGCUAAUGUCAUCAAGCGGCAUUGAGCUCGGGACAUGUGUGAACCUAGUGGAUAGGGCCAUUGAGGAAUGUGGAACAUGCUUAAACAUUAAAUGUCUAAGUGUCAUAAAGGGGCACUAGACCUAGAGAAUGUUGGAACUUCAUUUGUGACUUAGAACUAGAUCUGCGAGAUGCUAGUGACUAUACCAUGUUAGAGACAUGAGGGUUGGAUACUUGAGACUUGGACUAUGCUUGCUUGCCAUUUGUGCUCAUUCGCACAUGCUUGUGAGGGUCGCUCCCUACAAGUCGGCACUCCGGAGUUAGCCUUCGCGAUCUAUGUUCGCUCGUACGAUAUUGAGAAGCCUACGGGGUCGGGUGGGACAGACACAUUCCAAGAGUAGGGAUGUUGGGCUACCACAGGCACUUAGGCGGCACAAGCUGGACUACCUUUGGUAGGUCCUUGAUUGGAAAUGAAAAUCGACACGGUGUUGAGAAUGAAUAAUCGCUACUAGAUAGGCUUAGUAGUUGGAUUAGGUGACAUACUCAUGACAUAGCAAUAGGGUAUAUAGUACACUUGCCGGUUUCAUGCAUUGCAUCAUAGUAUACUGGGUUAUCUUGAUAGAGCGUACUCCUUAUAUUUUGGCAUAUGGUAUUGUGAGAUUUACUUGUUCAUUAUGUUGAGGCAUAUUAGUAUGCAUUGGAUAUAUUAUCUUAUAAUAGCGUAGAUGUACAUCACCAUGACAUCAUGCUUAUUGGAGACAUAGUAGUAUAGCCUUUCAUUCAUGUUUUCUUUUAGCAGUUUUUGUGUUCGCUAUUUAUUGCAUAUUACUAUAUGUCGUUACUUACCCUUUUCUUUUGGGGCCUAGUGGUGCAUUGAGCUGAGGUCAGUAAUUGCCCACUGGGAACUAUAAAUUAUAGUUCUCACGCCCUCUUUUUCUCGAUGUUUUCAGAGCCUUCUACCUCUCGAUAUUUUACCUUUUUACCGAGAGGUUGAGGGUUUUACCAGUGUACUAGAGACCACCAUUUUUGUACUAGAGACAGAUAUUGUACUACUUGUGGUUUCUUUUAUUGUCUAGCUUUAUUUCUUUACUUUGGUGUAAAUGAUAGAACUUUACUCGCUCUGAUAUCAUUAGUUGCUAGUUAUUUCACUUCUUUUAUUUGUUCUAUCUCUUGCUUUACUUCCGCUUUUGUUGUAGACGCCUUAUAUGUGUAGACAUAUGGCGGGUCUGGGCACGCUAUCGGGAGGGCCUUCGCCGAUCCCAGGGCGUGACAGGGGGUGUACGGGGUCUCUCUUUAGAGGGGAAGCAGAGUUUAUUCCAGCGAUAUCACUCUUCAACGAAGGAGCAUUAUCCUUCCCGACAUUCAUAUUGGAGGCUCCCGAAUCCUUCCCGGCAUGCGUAUCAGAAUCUCCCGAAUUCAGCCCUAUACCUGGAAGCUGUGACUGGGCCAAGUGAGGUAGGUCCUCAGAGGAUGAAGCAUCAACAGGAGUAGCGUUGGACAGGCUGGCGACCUUCAAUGCGAGAUUCAUCACUUUUAUUUUCUAGCACCUUAAAUCCUGAGCUUUCUGCAGGGAAGACUUCUUGUUAUCUCUGUUUUUGGCGCAGACUACUUUUGAAAUUGAAACGUUUUUUGGUGGUGGAGCGGUGAUGAAGGUGAGAGUCCAGUUCUAUGGGAGGCGUCUCCGAUCUCAGAAGCGAGGCGGAAUGAUAUGAUGAGACCCCGCCCAAGGGAGGCUCAUCGGUAAACAUGGGGGGGGGAGGGGGGAUUGUUGGGCUUUGGGUCCACAAGUAAGGUGGGCUCAGUGAUGGGACUGGCGGACUUAGUCAAAGACCCAAGAGGAAGUUUGGGCGAGGUAGAAGCCAGGAUAGGUUGUGUAACACACUGGACCUAUGCAAAUUUUAAGUGUUUGAUUUGUGUUCCGAGCUUUUUCACAUUUUCUGGAGGGUCGUUGAUAGUGUUCCGACCUAUGGCUCGCAUCCCGAGAAUCGAGGUUUAGAACUUGGCACUAAGGUCUCCGAAGUGAAGAACUUAGGCUGCUCUUGGGUUGGACUCUACAGAGCAGAGUACCGGUACAACAUUGAGCUUGUACCGGAAUGGGAGGUGGUACCGGUACAACAUCGGGUUUGUACCGGUAUCGAGCGCCGUUUUCUGUCAACCCGAGGCUCGGGUUUGCGCCUACUGUGACCUUGUACCGGUACAACUUCCCGUGUACUGGUACGCAGUGCAAACUACAGUCUGCUUAUUUUUUAGGGUUGAUUUUGAUAUUGUAGCCUUAUUACAUAUACCCUCCAUGGCCCAUGGAGGUCCCCUGAGCUGAGACCAGUAGAGAAGAAGUUAAGGGAGCUCUCCCCUUCCCCUCUUUCAUUUCCUUUCACUUUAGUUGGGAUUUUUGAAGAUUGAACCUUUCCUUUUGCUUCUUGGUGCCAUUUCCAUCAUGAGAAAAGCUUUGACUUGGUGUUUGGAGCUUGUUUGAGAGAAGGUUUUCAACCCUAGUUGGUUCCUAGGGUGGUUUGAAGCUUCUAAAGAGGUUAGUAACAUGUUUCUUUCAUUAGAUUCAUAUUUUGAUGGAUUUCUUGAGAUGAAAUCCUAGAAUGUGAGAUUUAGGAUUUAUUUUAGAAAUUUUUUAUUAGAGACUUUUGGAUCCCAAUUGAAUGGUUUAGAACCUUUGUUUAGGUUAGAUUUGCAGGGAUCUUACUCUCAUUUGGAGAUUGAGAGAGAAUUUCAGUUUUGCCCAUUUUCCUUAGGUUGGUUAUUGUUUGAUCUUAGGGUUGUUCGUUCGUAGCGUUUAACUCUCUUAGUUUAACUUUUAGGGUGCUAGGAGGCUUGUGGACAUCAUCUUUUGAGCGAACGAAGGUCUACGAGGAGUUUUGGUGGGUUUGGCCUCAUCGAAAAUAGAAAAACUCCACCUAUGUCGAUAUUUAAUUGCCGUAAAAUAGAAAUGCAUGCAUAUUCACGCUACAUUGAGCAUACGAGAUGUUUGGAAUGCUUAAAAUACAUAUGUUAUAUAUGAUGAAAAAUUGCCUCGAUGUAGCAGAGAGAGAUAUGUGCAUUGUAGCCUUGCAUAUGGUUAGCAUUCUAUUUAAUGGUUUGGAAUCAUGUUUCUUGCAAAGAAAUAACUUAUAUAAUAUGCUCUUAAACUUAGAACUCAUAUUGGACAUAGUGGAUAAGAAUGUCAUAAAGUGGCAUUGAUCUUGAUGAAUGCAUUGACAUAGUAAGUUACAAUGUCAUAAAAGGGCAUUGGACUUAGUAAACAGCUAAACCUUUACCUUGAGACAUUGAACUGGACCUUUGGGGUUACUAGUGUUUAUUACCAUGAUUGAGACAUGAUGACCGAGUAUCUGAGAUGACUAUCACGCUUGCUUGCCAUUUGUGCUCAUUCGCACAUGCUUGUGAGGGUCGCUCCCUACAAGUCGGCACUUCGGAGUUGGCCUGUGCGACAUACGCUCGCCGUGCGUGAUUGAGGACCUACUGGGUCACCGUGGGAUAGUCACAUUCCUAGUGAAUACUGGACUACCCGGGGCCAUUAGGCGGCACAAGCUGGACUACACUCAUGUAGGUCCUAUUUUGGAAAUGAAAAUUUGACAAAGAACAACUAAAUGAUAAUCACUACUAGACUAGUACAUAGUAGUUGGAUUCCUUUGGCAUGCUUGUAGCAUAGUAUUGGACAUUUAGUUGACAUUCUUGGACAUAUAGUAUACUUGUGACUUGUUUGAACACACUAGUUCAUGCAUUUAAUGUACUUGCUCAUGAUAGCUAGAAGCAUCAUUUUUAUCAUCAUGCUUACUUGCGACAUAGUAGUGGUAGUAAAUUAUAUUGUUAAAUCUACUCGUUGAUUUCCUUCUUUAGUGCUUAUUUACUCUACUUAUGCUUUUGGGGCCUAGUGGUGCUUCCUCGCUGAGGUCAGUAAUUGCCCACUGGGAACUAUUAAUUAUAGUUCUCACGCCCCCUGUUUGAUAUUUUCUUUCAGAGCCAUCCGCACCGGGAGAGGCUAGGAAUCGCGGCAAGGGAGUCGCGUCUAGCUAGAUCUCAGGGAUCUCUUCUAUUAGAUGGUUAUCUCUCUUUUUGUAUAGUUGGGGAGAGAGCGAGUUGUACCAAUGUAUAGAGACCACAAUUUUUGUAUAUCUAGUACUUGUAUUUGAGACUUAUUGUUGUAUUACUCUAUAUUUUACCUUAGUGGUUAGCUCUCUUUUCAUCCUACUUGUUGUUAGAUUCUAGUUGUAUACUUUCUCUGAUAUCUCUAGAUACUUGUUACUUCUUGUUUAUUUAUCGCUAUCGUUGUAGACGCCUUAUAUGUGCAGGCAUAUGGCGAGUCUGGACACGCACCGGACGGGCCUCUGCUGGGCCCCGGGGCGUGACAAAUUAUUUUGGUAUCAGAGCCUAGGGUUAAGUCUUAAUGGACCUAGCAAACCUUAGGCCGGUUGGACUAUAGGAAUUAGACUCGUGAGAGAUGCAGUCUAUUUGACUUAUAAGGGAAGUAUUAUGAUUGGGUUUCUUUGAUAACUCUAAAAAGUGGAUUUGAAUUGAAGUGUAUAACUUCUAACUUCGCGGAGGGUUACAUUGGCGGCCGACAACGUAACAUCGGGAGUUAGUAGUAGAGAACACUUCUUUACUUUCGCAUGAUUUUGGGUUUUACUUGUUUAAGCGGGGUUGCGAUAGCGUGAGUUUUACUAACUUGCGCUUUUAUAUUGUUGUAGUGACGAUGCCGGUUACUCGCUCUAAAUCUAUUGGGGCGGAGAACGCAGCAAACCUCCAGGAGGUGGAGACCUCCACUACUUCCGGAUCUAGUGAGGUCCGCAAUUUGAGGACUCAGCUUGCGGUCCUCAUUGAUUUGGUUGCUCAGCAGGCAGCGGCGGCUCAGUGGCAGGCCGAGGUGGCGCUCCGACAGGAGUCGCAGAUAAAGCGGCUGGAGGGCUUACUAUUUCAGCAGGCGGCUGUGAGAGAGACUCAGGAUCCAACACCACCCGCGCCGCGCUAGUAGUGGACGUGGCACCGCGGGCGCCGUCCCCUGCGCCCGGUGUUCCACGAGUGGCGCCUUUUGUUGAGCCUCGGGAGGAGGUUUUUGCGGCAGCACCUGUGUAACGUACCGGACAUCAAAAAUUAUGAGGACACGGUGUAUGUUAGGUUCGAUGGCUAAUCCGAUGAUUCCGGUGAAGUCUGGUGAAGUUGGAAACUUUGGUGCGUUUCGGUGCGCGUAGGCGCGAAAACGGAACCCGGAAGGUUACGUUGGGCCGCGAGCUAAGUCCAACACUAGUGUGGAUGAAAAGAUGAUGGAGACAUGUUCAAAAAUAUGUUUAGUGAGCCUCGGUUCUAUUUGAAAAGAAUCGGAAGUUUAACGAGCGAAUUAGAGUUGAAACGGACCUAAGAUUGCACUCUGGAGCAUUGUGUACCGGUACAGGUUGAUGGCUGUACCGGUACAGCAAGCGACCCGAGGUAAAGGCUGCUCUCGGGUUGGCUGUUGCGCGAGUCGUGUACCGGUGAUACCAACCCGUGUACCGGUACGCGGUGGACCCGACAGCAAAAAUUAGUCUGCUGUGAUUAUAAUUGAUUGGAGGGGUUUAUUUGCAAUUGUUACCUAAUGUAAUAGCCCUAAACCCCUCUCCCUCACAGCAGAUCUCUCUCUCUCCCUCUCUCGUGUCUCUCUCUCUCUCUCUCUCAGCCGAUUGCAAGAGAGGGGAAGGAAAAGAAGAAAAAAAAAAAGAAAAAGAAGAUAAGGA
rnacentral:lncRNA from 1 species